CCAAGGAGUCUAACAUGUGUGCGAGUCAUUGGGUCUUGAAUAUGCCCAAAGGCGAAAUGAGAGUGAAGGCUAGGUCCAAUUUUUUUUGGCCGGCUAGGUUGGGAUCCCUCGCCCCAUGUGGCGGGGGCGCACCAACGUCCCGCCCCGUCUGCUGUGUCAGAGGGACGGAGAUGGAGCAUACAUGUUGGGACCCGAAAGAUGGUGAACUAUGCCUGGGCAGGACGAAGCCAGAGGAAACUCUGGUGGAGGUCCGCAGCGAUUCUGACGUGCAAAUCGAUCGUCAGACCUUGGUAUAGGGGCGAAAGACUAAUCGAACCAUCUAGUAGCUGGUUCCCUCCGAAGUUUCCCUCAGGAUAGCUGGCGCUCGGGAAAUUCAGUCUCAUCCGGUAAAGCGAAUGAUUAGAGGCCUUGGGGCCGAAACGACCUCAACCUAUUCUCAAACUUUAAAUGGGUGAGAAGUCCGGCUUGCUUGAUCGAAGCUCGGACAGUUGGAUGUGAGUGCCCAGUGGGCCACUUUUGGUAAGCAG
rnacentral:rRNA from 1 species